AUAUAUAUAAAGGAGACUUUUCUGGCAUCUCCCACAGCCACGUCGUCUCUGGAGGAGUGGGCAUUUCGCGCCACGUGUCGUCGCGCUGAGCCGGCUGUGAAGGUCACGCGUUCUAUUAUUGUCCUGCGCGUAGCUCACCGUUUUCAGUUUACAAAGAUUUCCAGAUUUCUUCUGCGUUCUUCUUCUUACGACUGCCUCUUCAUCUUCCAGGUUUCACCAACAAAAGCAACGCCUUUUCUUACCCGUAAGUCCGUAACGCCUCAUAACUCCUUCAAAUCCGUCAUUUAUUUCGAUUUUUCCCUUGAUAAAUCCACACUUUGAUUUCUGAAGAGAGAGAGAAUCGAAAAAUAUGUAGAAUUUUAGGGUUCGGGCCGCCCAUUCCUUGUCCUGAUUUCUAAUCAUUUUUCCCGAUCCGACGAGAGGAUGAAGAAGACGCAGUAUCAAAACAUUGGCGUGAAUUUGGUUCUCUCGGAUGCAACACUCGAUCUAGAUGAGCAGGUGCCUCCAUUUCUCUUCCCACACUGGUUCUGUAUCCCCUUUUCGUUUCUUGCUGUUUAAAUGAUGUUGAGUGGAUCUCAGAUUUUGUUUUAAAUGAAAAGUUUGUUUUUUUCUUUCUUCUGUGAGUAUGUGAUUACUCGGUUUGAUGUCUGAGUUGUGGAGAAUGGCUUUUGGGAUAGGUAGAGGUUGAUGCAUGUGUAUAUUAGCAUUCAAGUCAGUUUUGCGGGUUGAAAAUAUUACUUUGUUAUAUAAUUUCAAGGUAGAUAUGUAUUGGGUUCGGAAUAGGUGGUUCACUUGCACUUUGAUAACCCUUUUAGUCUGGGUUUGCCUGACUCACAUAAUUUGAUGAUUGCUUCAAAAUCUGAUACAUUGAUGUUAAUUUCGACAACUAAUUGAUGCAAGCAAUAUGUUACAUAGCAUAUUAGAUCAAAGCUUAAACUUACCCAGCACAGAAGGAAGAGAUGGGACAGAUGGAGUAUUGAUUGCUUGACGAUAAACAACAAAACCGGUGGGAUCUGGAACUCAAACGCGAUCCAGAAGAAUAGUUUAUUCUAGCACGAUUCUGACCAUAUGAUCAGUUACUUGAGCUAGCAAACACGGGCAAACAACUCCCUGACAUAAUGGGGGAGCUUUGUUCAAUUAGUAACACAAUAGACAACCGUUUGCUGGGGAGACACAGCGUGUGUCGUGUGAUGCUCACUUCGCGUCUAGAAAGGUACUUUAAGGAUGUCUAUUUUUCCUUGAUGAUGUUAUUCGGAUCAUAUUCCCCAGUGGUGAUCUUUCUGUUUAGUUUCAUUUUAUUUCAAAGCAGAUGUAUAGUAUUAUCUCAUAGAACAUACCUCUCUCGGUAUUCAUGUUUAGUUACAAUACUAUUGUGACAACAAUAGUUUCUAAUAAAACACCAAUUAUGUGCAGUCAUUCUGUCUCAUAUAAAAUUUCCCGAGGACAAACUGAACUAAAUAUGUUGAGAACUUUCGAUCUCAUGUUGACUUCCUUUACUCUAACGUAUCCCCCAUUUGACUUUGUAGCAUGAUUUAUGUUCAGGGAAGCAAAUGUUUGUGUUAGUAUGUUUGACUCUUUGGGUUGGUGUUAUAUUGGGUGUUCAAAGAAACUCAUCCGAGAGGAAUAUUCCUUUACAUGUGUCGCAUGCAAUGAAACUAAUGCUCUGGCUGAACUCAGGUAGCGGGUGAUACUUUCUGUGUUAGACAACACUGGCACCGCGGUUUUCCUUGGCUGUGAUAUGGAGGUGGCUAAACUGACCCACGUUCUAGCUUCUGAGGCUGCACAGAUUGUGGUAUGAGAGCUUGCACCUAUGCCAACUUUGCUGAAGGUGUAAAGGUCCCUCAAGCAGCGCUUCCCGGAGCUGUGACACCAGGAUCAGAUGUCAGAGAUGCUAACACUUGCAAAGUUGCAGAGCAAGCAACUACACCUGAUGGUUCACUUCCCGGACAUUUACCAACAGUGAAAGAACAAGUUGAUCUGGAAGAGAAUGCUCCCAAGAAAGCACGUGAGGAAUGAGACCCCUGUUAGAACCUAAACAACCAUGUCUUCUCCUUAUCAAUUAAACUUUUAGCAUCUUUCAACUUCGCUCAAGUCUAUUCCCUUGAGGAAAAAAACUCAAGUGUCGUGGUUGUUGUCAUUUCUUUUAUCUAUGCAAAUUUUAUUUCCCUAUAAAAAAACUCAAGUGUCGUGGUUGUUAUUUCUUUUAUGAAUGCAAGUCUUUUUAACAAUAUGCAUCCACAUGUCUUGGAUUUAUAAUUCCGUGGUCUUCUGAAUAAGCAACUUCUUCGGUGUCUUCUUGAUCAUGGGCAUCAAAUUCGGCAUACAUAUUUCAGUGAGAGGUUAUGAGUAUCAAAAACAUUCUAGGUGAGUUGAGUUCUACUAUUGAAUUUCAGUU